UAUUGAGUGGCCGAACAUUUUAAGCACUAGAUUUUUAAUCUAGAUUAUGAUUAUAUUAUCCUCAAUGG
rnacentral:tRNA from 1 species